rnacentral:rRNA from 1 species
GACGAACGCUGGCGGCGUGCUUAACACAUGCAAGUCGAACGGAAAGGCCCUGCUUUUGUGGGGUGCUCGAGUGGCGAACGGGUGAGUAACACGUGAGUAACCUGCCCUUGACUUUGGGAUAACUUCAGGAAACUGGGGCUAAUACCGGAUAGGAGCUCCUGCUGCAUGGUGGGGGUUGGAAAGUUUCGGCGGUUGGGGCUGGACUCGCGGGUUAUCAGCUUGUUGGUGGGGUAGUGGCUUACCAAGGCUUUGACGGGUAGCCGGCCUGGGAGGGUUACCGGCCACAUUGGGACUGAGAUACGGCCCAGACUCGUACGGGAGGCAGCAGGGGGGAAUAUUGCACAAUGGGCGGAAGCCUGAUGCAGCAACGCCGCGUGCGGGAUGACGGCCUUCGGGUUGUAAACCGCUUUCGCCUGUGACGAAGCGUGAGUGACGGUAAUGGGUAAAGAAGCACCGGCUAACUACGUG